AGGAUUGUAAUUUAUAAAAAUAUUUGAUUUGCAAUCAAAAAAUAUUAACUUAAUUAAUCUAUCUUA
rnacentral:tRNA from 1 species